rnacentral:rRNA from 1 species
AGAUGUUGGGUUAAGUCCCGCAACGAGCGCAACCCUUGUCAUUAGUUGCUACAUUUAGUUGGGCACUCUAAUGAGACUGCCGGUGACAAACCGGAGGAAGGUGGGGAUGACGUCAAGUCCUCAUGGCCCUUAUAGCCGGGGCUACACACGUCAUACAAUGGCUGGUACAAAGGGUUGCCAACCCGCGAGGGGGAGCUAAUCCCAUAAAACCAGUCGUAGUCCGGAUCGCAGUCUGCAACUCGACUGCGUGAAGUCGGAAUCGCUAGUAAUCGUGGAUCAGAAUGUCACGGUGAAUACGUUCCCGGGUCUUGUACACACCGCCCGUCACACCAUGGGAGCGGUUCUGCCAAGAAGUAGUUAGCCUAACC